rnacentral:snRNA from 15 species
AAGAUUACCUGUCUCCGGGUUCAGGGUGAUCAAGAAAGCUCUCACCUCGGAUGGAGGCUCACCAUUGCACCUCGGUGGGUUGAAACUCGCAACGGACCUUAAUCGAGUGCGUU